GAUGAACGCUGACAGAAUGCUUAACACAUCAGCAAUUGAUUGGUGUCGGACGGGUGAGUAACGCGUAAAGAACUUGCCUCAAAGAUAGGGACAAAAUUUGGAAAAGAAUGCUAAUACCUAAUAUGGUGAUAGAGCUUUUCGUCCCAUUAGCUAGUUGGAGAGGUAACGGCUCACCAAGGCGAUGAUGGGUAGCCGGCCUGAGAGGGUGAUCGGCCACAGAGUGACUGAGACACGGCCCUUCCUCCUACGUGAUGCAGCAGUGGGGAUUAUUGGACAAUGGACCAAAGUCUCAUCCAGCAAUUCUGUGUGCACGAUGAAGUUUUCGGAAUGUAAAUUGCUUUCAGUUGGGAAGCGGUACCAACAGAAGAAGUGAAGGCUCAAUACGUGCCAGCAGCCGCGGUAAUAC
rnacentral:rRNA from 1 species